CCUACGGGAGGCAGCAGUAGGGAAUCUUCCACAAUGGGCGAAAGCCUGAUGGAGCAACGCCGCGUGAGUGAUGAAGGCCUUCGGGUUGUAAAACUCUGUCAUUCGGGACGAGCCGGAGUCUGAGGAAAUGCAGACUCUCUGACGGUACCGGAGGAGGAAGCCCCGGCUAACUACGUGCCAGCAGCCGCGGUAAUACGUAGGGGGCAAGCGUUGUCCGGAUUCACUGGGCGUAAAGCGCGCGCAGGCGGUGAUGUAAGUCUGAGGUGAAACCCCGAAGCUCAACUUCGGGACUGCCUUGGAUACUGCGUCACUUGAGGAUAGGAGAGGCAAGGGGAAUUCCACGUGUAGCGGUGAAAUGCGUAGAGAUGUGGAGGAACACCUGUGGCGAAGGCGCCUUGCUGGCCUAUUUCUGACGCUGAGGCGCGAAAGCGUGGGGAGCAAACAGGAUUAGAUACCCUGGUAGUCCACGCUGUAAACGAUGAGUGCUAGGUNUAGGUGGGCUCAUCCCGAUCUGUNCCGAAGCUAACGCAUUAAGC
rnacentral:rRNA from 1 species